rnacentral:rRNA from 1 species
UGGGGAAUAUUGGACAAUGGGCGCAAGCCUGAUCCAGCCAUACCGCGUGGGUGAAGAAGGCCUUCGGGUUGUAAAGCCCUUUUGUUGGGAAAGAAAUCCAGCCGGCUAAUACCUGGUUGGGAUGACGGUACCCAAAGAAUAAGCACCGGCUAACUUCGUGCCAGCAGCCGCGGUAAUACGAAGGGUGCAAGCGUUACUCGGAAUUACUGGGCGUAAAGCGUGCGUAGGUGGUCGUUUAAGUCCGUUGUGAAAGCCCUGGGCUCAACCUGGGAACUGCAGUGGAUACUGGGCGACUAGAGUGUGGUAGAGGGUAGCGGAAUUCCUGGUGUAGCAGUGAAAUGCGUAGAGAUCAGGAGGAACAUCCAUGGCGAAGGCAGCUACCUGGACCAACACUGACACUGAGGCACGAAAGCGUGGGGAGCAAAACAGGAUUAGAUACCCUGGUAGUCCACGCCCUAAACGAUGCGAACUGGAUGUUGGGUGCAAUUUGGCACGCAGUAUCGAAGCUAACGCGUUAAGUUCGCCGCCUGGGAGUACGGUCGCAAGACUGAAACUCAAAUGAAUUGAC